rnacentral:SRP_RNA from 1 species
GCUGGGUGUGGUGGUGUAUGCUUGUAGUUUCAACUACUCAGGAGGCUGAGGUGGGAGGAUCGCUUGAGUCUAGAAGUUCUGGGCUAUAGUGUGCUAUGCUGAUAGGGUGUCCACACUGUUUAGUAUCAAUAUAGUGACCUCCUGGGAGCGGAGGACUGCCAGGUUGUCUAAGGAGGGGUGAACUGACCCAGGUCAGAAAUGGAACAGGCCAAAACUCCUAUGCUUAUCUGUAGUGGGAUUGUGCCUAUGAAUAGCCACUCUACUCCAGACUCUGUCUCUAAAACAAACAAACAA